CGGAUCAAAUUCUCCAGCUCCAUAAAUAUCCCUCUUAUCGCUUCCCCUAACCUCUUCCAUAUUGCAACGGCAUCGUUCCUAAGAACUAAACAGUACUGAUCAGAGAAAUUAAACUCAAAAUCGGGCAUUAAUUCUCUCAACGUCUCAAAUAAAUCCAGAAUCUUAAAUAACCGCUCUGGCGCCCGGCUCCCGAUAGCCACCGCGUCUGCGAAAUUCAGAAUCUGAAUCGUGGAUCCCCGACAUACCUCCAUGAACGACAAAUCAGCAGCAGAUGAGAACCCAAAAAACACGCGAUCGCAUAGACGACGCUCGCUUGGGAAGAGGNNNNNCGCGACAUUCGCUGCUUUAAUCCACUUAUCAAUUUCGUCCUCAAGGUCUUGCCAUGAUAUUUUCUGAACCUCUUCGAUACUCAAUUUCUGCAUCCCUAAUCUCGACAUGCUUUCUUCCAGAAACUCUCUCCUGCAGCUACUGUACACAUGUGAGCACUCUUUACCAAAACCGGCGACCACCAUUCGCCUAGCGAUCUCAUGAAGAUCGUUAAUCGUCCCAGACGGAAGCGCGUCGAUCACAAUAUCGUA
rnacentral:misc_RNA from 1 species